CCCUUAGAUGUUCUGGGCCGCACGCGCGCUACACUGACGAAUGCAACGAGCUUAUAACCUUGGCCGAAAGGUCUGGGUAAUCUCCAAAUUUCGUCGUGAUGGGGAUAGAUUAUUGCAAUUAUUAAUCUUCAACGAGGAAUGCCUAGUAAGCGCAAGUCAUCAGCUUGCAUUGAUUACGUCCCUGCCCUUUGUACACACCGCCCGUCGCACCUACCGAUUGAAUGGUCCGGUGAAAUCUCGGGACGGCGGCUUGGUCGCUUGCGUCCGACUGCUGAAACUUGAUUAAACCAUAUCAUUUAGAGGAAGGUGAAGUCGUANCA
rnacentral:rRNA from 1 species